rnacentral:rRNA from 1 species
GAUGAACGCUGGCGGCGUGCCUAAUACAUGCAAGUCGAGCGAACGGACGAGAAGCUUGCUCUUCUGAUGUUAGCGGCGGACGGGUGAGUAACACGUGGAUAACCUACCUAUAAGACUGGGAUAACUUCGGGAAACCGGAGCUAAUACCGGAUAAUAUUUUGAACCGCAUGGUUCAAAAGUGAAAGACGGUCUUGCUGUCACUUAUAGAUGGAUCCGCGCUGCAUUAGCUAGUUGGUAAGGUAACGGCUUACCAAGGCAACGAUGCAUAGCUGACCUGAGAGGGUGAUCGGCCACACUGGAACUGAGACACGGUCCAGACUCCUACGGGAGGCAGCAGUAGGGAAUCUUCCGCAAUGGGCGAAAGCCUGACGGAGCAACGCCGCGUGAGUGAUGAAGGUCUUCGGAUCGUAAAACUCUGUUAUUAGGGAAGAAAAUAUGUGUAAGUAACUGUGCACGUCUUGACGGUACCUAAUCAGAAAGCCACGGCUAACUACGUG